rnacentral:sRNA from 1 species
GGGGCUGGGGCCGAGGCUGAGGCGGCGGCGGCGGCCGGGUGCCCGGGACAGCGACGCAGCGCGCCGGCGGCCGCGACAGGGCCGGCGAGAGCCCCGCAGCCCGCCGCAGCCGCCGCCUCGCCGCGGCCGGGCCGGAGAGCACGGCGGCGGGAGUGCGGCCUUAGAAGGCGGCCGGAGCGGCGGGCACAGCUCGGCGCAGAGCGUCCUGUCAGGCGGCGGCCGAGGGCGCCGCGGACUCUCCCCGCGAUGAUGCCGAUGAUAUUAACCGUUUUCUUGAGCAACAAUGAACAGAUUUUAACAGAAGUUCCUAUAACACCAGAAACAACCUGUCGAGAUGUUGUAGAAUUUUGCAAGGAACCUGGAGAAGGCAGCUGCCAUUUAGCUGAAGUGUGGAGGGGAAAUGAACGUCCCAUACCCUUUGAUCAUAUGAUGUACGAACAUCUUCAGAAAUGGGGUCCACGGAGGGAAGAAGUGAAAUUUUUCCUUCGACACGAGGACUCCCCAACUGAGAACAGUGAACAAGGUGGCCGUCAGACCCAAGAGCAACGAACUCAGAGAAAUGUAAUAAAUGUACCUGGAGAAAAACGUACUGAAAAUGGGGUAAGUGAUAGUGAAUUAAAUUGAAUUUUAAAAAUUGAUGGCUAGGUGCAGUGGGUUACACCUGUAAUCUCAGCACUUUGGGAGGCCAAGGUGAGAGGAUCACAUGAGGCCAGGAGUUUGAGAUCAGCCAGAGCAAGAUGGUGAGACCCUCUC